GAUCUACUUCCCUGCGAAAGCAGUGCCUGCUUGGCCUGAGAGAGCCGUCAUGAUCUCUCUGUGACUUCUCAUCCUGAGCUGACAAGAUCUUGGAAAUACAGGAUAUAAUUCAGCACUAAAACAUCCUUCAGAAGUAAAGAAGUUUACA